rnacentral:rRNA from 1 species
CCUACGGGAGGCAGCAGUGGGGAAUUUUCCGCAAUGGGCGAAAGCCUGACGGAGCAAUACCGCGUGAGGGAAGAAAGCCUACUGGGUUGUAAACCUCUUUUUUCAGGGAGGAAAAAAAUGACGUGUACCUGAAGAAUAAGCAUCGGCUAACUCCGUGCCAGCAGCCGCGGUAAGACGGAGGAUGCAAGUGUUAUCCGGAAUUACUGGGCGUAAAGCGUCUGUAGGUGGUUUAAUAAGUCAACUGUUAAAUCUUGAGGCUUAACUUCAAAACAGCAGUCGAAACUAUUAGACUAGAGUAUAGUAGGGGUAAAGGGAAUUUCCAGUGGAGCGGUGAAAUGCGUAGAUAUUGGAAAGAACACCGAUGGCGAAAGCACUUUACUGGGCUAUUACUAACACUCAGAGACGAAAGCUAGGGUAGCAAAUGGGAUUAGAUACCCCAGUAGUCCUAGCUGUAAACAAUGGAUACUAGAUGUUGAACAGAUCGACCUGUGCAGUAUUAAAGCUAACGCGUUAAGUAUCCCGCCUGGGAAGUAUGCUCGCAAGAGUGAAACUCAAAGGAAUUGACGG